GAUGAACGCUAGCGGCAGGCCUAAUACAUGCAAGUCGAACGAAGUGGCGCACGGGUGCGUAACGCGUGAGCAACCUACCUCUGUCAGGGGGAUAGCCCGGCGAAAGUCGGAUUAACACCGCCUGGACAGAGAUGGGCUCGCGUGACAUUAGCUAGUUGGAGAGGUAACGGCUCACCAAGGCAACGAUGUCUAGGGGCUCUGAGAGGAGAGUCCCCCGCACUGGUACUGAGACACGGACCAGACUCGUACGGGAGGCAGCAGAAAGGAAUAUUGGUGAAUGGAGGGAGCUCUGAACCAGCCAUGCCGCGUGCAGGAUGACUGGCUAUGGGUGGUAAACUGCUUUUGGCGGGGAAUAUGUACCCAAAGAAUAAGGAUCGGCUAACUCCGUGCCAGCAGCCGCGGUAAUUC
rnacentral:rRNA from 1 species